CUAAUUAUAGUGUUAAGUUCACUCCACUCUGAAGUUUGUUAAUACUUAAUACUCAUGAGGUUGUGGAAUUAUGUUUUGUGCAGGAUUUAAGUGAUGAGAAACCUUUAUCAUGGAGCCACUUUAUUGCUGAAGGUGAUGUAGAGUUCAAGGCAGUCCUGUUUGUGCCACCUAAGGCUCCUCAUGAUUUAUAUGAGAGUUACUACAACUCAAACAAAUCCAACCUGAAGCUGUAUGUUAGACGUGUAUUUAUUUCAGAUGAAUUUGAUGAACUGUUGCCUAAAUACCUCAACUUUUUGAAGGUAACUAUGGGUGUGCUUUGUUAUCGCAAAUAAGUUUAUUUUGUGAGGAUCAGAAUAAUUUUCCUUACUGAAAGUUCUUUUUUGACAUUGGGAGCAGGGUCUUGUAGAUUCUGACACAUUGCCACUUAAUGUAUCACGAGAAAUGCUUCAACAACACAGUAGUUUAAAGACAAUCAAGAAGAAACUUAUUAGGAAAGCCCUUGAUAUGAUCCGUAGGAUUGCUGAAGAGGAUCCUGAUGAGUCCUCUGACAAAGAAAAGAAAGGUAUGAUGUAAUGAAUCUUUUGGUUCCAUUUGCCGUAAUCCCAAUUCUUUUUUAGUGGUUAAGGUUGUCCAAAUCUUGUAUACCUGUCCUAAAAAUGUUGGAUUGGUUGUUAUUUUGUUUUUUGUUUAUGUCUAAUUUGGCUUUGUCAUCUCUUUUCAAAUGUAAGUUCAGAGUCUUUUUCUCAAUUCUAUUCAAUAACUUUGCACUUCUACUUAUGUUAAAUUGUGAUGCAGAAGAGUUGUCCUCUGGCAAUGAUGAAAAGAGAGGUCAAUAUGCUAAGUUCUGGAAUGAGUUUGGGAAGUCCAUUAAGCUUGGUAUCAUUGAGGAUGCCACCAACAGAAAUCGGUUGGCAAAACUACUCAGAUUUGAGAGGUACGUCACUUGUUUUCUUGUGAAUAAUUCUUGUGGCAGUGUUAUUUCCCUACUUAUAUUAGUUGACAAUUUAUAUGAAGCUCGAAUCUCUUGCAGCACCAAGUCAGAUGGUAAAUUGGCUUCUCUUGAUCAGUACAUAUCUAGGAUGAAAGCUGGACAGAAAGAUAUCUUUUACAUAACUGGAACCAACAAAGAACAGCUAGAAAAAUCUCCAUUCCUUGAGCGGCUUAAGAAGAAAAAUUUUGAGGUGCAAUUAAAUCUUGUUUUUAAGCAAAUUCUAUUGGCUCGAAUGUAGUAUUUAUAUGUUUUGACUCUUCAUAAUUAGAAAACGUCUAUGCUUUCUUUAUAUUUUGAAAACUUCUGUUCUGUAGAGAAGGAAUGAUGAUUUCAUAUUUUUGAGUGUAUCUGCUUUUCAAACCACUCCAGGUUAUUUACUUCACUGAUCCAGUUGAUGAAUACUUGAUGCAAUACUUGAUGGAUUAUGAAGAUAAGAAGUUCCAGAAUGUGUCCAAGGAGGGUUUGAAACUUGGAAAGGACGCAAAGGACAAGGGACUGAAGGAGUCCUUCAAGGAUCUUACGAAGUGGUGGAAAAAUACCCUUGCCAGUGAGAAUGUUGAUGAUGUGAAGAUAUGAGCAUUUGAAGAAAUAAAAAAGAAGAUUGCAUUCUACCUAAAAUAUUAAUUAUAGUCAAUCAUGCACUUGGUAUUAAUGACAAUUUGCUCCACGAUUAGGCAUUGGACAAGAUUAGGUUCCUCUCCCUCACAGAUAAGGAGGUUUUGGGUGAAGGUGAUAAUGCCAAGCUUGAAAUCCAGGUAAGUACUUCUUAAUUUUCAAUUCAAUUUAAUAAUAUGCACAUGUUUUCCUUUUAUUUGUCUUUACGGUGGCAGUGUAACCACUGCUGAUAUCUUGAAUUUGCUUGUUGACUUACUGUAUUCGUGGUUUAUUUUGCACCUAAAACAUGAUGCUGCUGCAGAUUAAGUUGGACAAGGAAAAGAAAAUCCUGUCGAUUCGAGACAGAGGUAUUGGAAUGACAAAGGAGGAUUUAAUUAAGAAUCUGGGAACUAUAGCAAAAUCUGGAACUUCAGGUCUUUAUCUUGUACUCACUGUCUUGUUUGAAAGAAUCUUCAUUUGUAUUAAGGUGCGAAAGAUGUUAACUGAAACCAUCUAUUUGUACAGCAUUUGUUGAGAAAAUGCAGACAAGUGGGGAUCUCAAUCUCAUUGGGCAGUUUGGAGUUGGUUUCUACUCUGUUUAUCUUGUGGCUGACUAUGUUGAAGUCAUUAGCAAGCAUAACGAAGACAAACAGUAAGUCACUUACCCUUGAUAUUGAUUCUCUUAUCAUUAUUGCACAUGAUGUUUUCUAGAAAUCUGCCCCAGCAUGCUGAUUCAAAAAUUGUUUGACUCAGAUAUGUGUGGGAAUCAAAAGCUGAUGGAGCAUUUGCAAUUUCAGAAGAUACAUGGAAUGAGCCACUAGGACGUGGAACUGAGAUUAGAUUACACCUCAAAGAUGAGGCUGGGGAGUACUUAGAGGAGUCUAAGCUGAAAGUAUGCACUAAAUCAUUACCUUAAUUAUUAUCCACAAUAUGUGUUGUGUUUCUACUGCGGGUGAUUCUACCUGUGUGCUUUGCUUAUGAUUGAAAAUAUAGGACUUAAUAGCAAAGUUUGUUUUACCACAUAGUUUCUCUGUACAUUCAUGUUGUGCUUCUGACCCUUCGUUUUUUAGUGAUACACAUGCUAUUGGUUUUCAUUCAGCAUAUAUACAACAUUAAGUAAGUAGUAGCUAGUAGGGCUUCUGUGGAGUGCUACACCUACAGCUCAAAAUAAAUGUAUGUUUACAUUGGGUUAUGAUUUGCUAGCGUAAAUCUUAAUGUGCAUCUAAUGGUUAAAAAAAUAUGAACCCCUUCUACUCUUUAUAUAAUUGCCCUAUUCUGUAUCAUCCAAAUUUCUUAAAUGGCCAGCAACUUGCCAUCUCUGUCAGUAUGCAUUCUAUUUUUUCUCCCUAUUUUACAUUUAAAAGAGUCAUAACCUUCUUCUGAAGUCGGCUCCCUUGAUGUUUCACUAGAGGCUGUUUGAGGUUUGUUUAGUCACUUGUGCCACAAUGUUCUGCUAAAUUUGAUCCAAUAACUACUCCUUUUCAGGAAUUGGUGAAGAGAUACUCUGAGUUUAUUAACUUCCCUAUCUAUAUUUGGGCAAGCAAAGAGGUUGAUGUGGAGGUUCCUUCUGAUGAAGAUGAUUCUAAUGAUGAAGACGAAUCAUGUAUGUAUAAUUUUAGAACUCAGCUGUGUGAUUUUCUAUUUUUAUCCCAUGUUUCAAUGACGUUUUAGUUUGUCUUUCUUACCUUCUGUCACUCCUUAAACAGCUGAAAGCAUCUCCUCCGACGAAGAAACUGAAGAAGAUGCCGACAAAAGUGAAGAUGAAGAAAAGAAGCCCAAAACAAAGAAGGUGAAGGAAACGACUUAUGAAUGGGAACUUUUAAAUGAUGUGAAGGCUAUAUGGCUGCGGAACCCAAAGGAGGUUACAGAUGAGGAGUAUACCAAAUUCUACCACUCUCUUGCCAAGGUAAUAUUGUCACCUUCAUUAUCUAUGAGAAGCUUUAAGCUAAUUAUAGUGUUAAGUUCACUCCACUCUGAAGUUUGUUAAUACUUAAUACUCAUGAGGUUGUGGAAUUAUGUUUUGUGCAGGAUUUAAGUGAUGAGAAACCUUUAUCAUGGAGCCACUUUAUUGCUGAAGGUGAUGUAGAGUUCAAGGCAGUCCUGUUUGUGCCACCUAAGGCUCCUCAUGAUUUAUAUGAGAGUUACUACAACUCAAACAAAUCCAACCUGAAGCUGUAUGUUAGACGUGUAUUUAUUUCAGAUGAAUUUGAUGAACUGUUGCCUAAAUACCUCAACUUUUUGAAGGUAACUAUGGGUGUGCUUUGUUAUCGCAAAUAAGUUUAUUUUGUGAGGAUCAGAAUAAUUUUCCUUACUGAAAGUUCUUUUUUGACAUUGGGAG
rnacentral:lncRNA from 1 species